rnacentral:rRNA from 1 species
AACGAACGCUGGCGGCGCGCCUAAUACAUGCAAGUCGAGCGAGAAGACGUAGCAAUACGUUUGUAAAGCGGCGAACGGGUGAGGAAUACAUGGGUAACCUACCCUCGAGUGGGGAAGUAACUAGCCGAAAGGUUAGCUAAUACCGCGUACGCUCCUUGGACUUCGGUUCAGGGAGGAAAGCGAUACCGUGGGUAUCGCGCUCUUGGAUGGGCUCAUGUCCUAUCAGCUUGUUGGUGAGGUAACGGCUCACCAAGGCUUCGACGGGUAGCUGGUCUGAGAGGACGAUCAGCCACACUGGCACUGCGACACGGGCCAGACUCCUACGGGAGGCAGCAGUAAGGAAUAUUGCGCAAUGGGCGAAAGCCUGACGCAGCGACGCCGC